GACGAACGCUGGCGGCGUGCCUAAUACAUGCAAGUUGAGCGCUGAAGGUUGGUACUUUUACCACCUGUGUCAGCCGCGUACGUGUGAGUAACGCGUGUGGAAUCUGCCUUUGAGCGGGUGACCACAUUUGUAAACGAUUGCUAAUACCGCCUAAGAACUUUAAACACAAGUUUUAAGUUUGAACGAUGCAAUUGCAUCACUCAACGAUGAUCCCGCGUUGUAUUAGCUAGUUGGUGAGGUAAAGGGUCAACAAGGCGAUGAUACAUAGCCGACCUGAGAGGGAGAACGGCCAAAUUGGGAAUGAGAAACGGGCCAAAAUACUAAGGGAGGCAGCAGGAGGGAAUUUUCGGAAAUGGACGAAAGGCUGAAUGAGGAAAGGCGCCGGAGAGAAGAAGGGUUUCGGAGCGGAAAACUGUGUUGGUAGAGAAGAACGUGGGUGAGGGUGGAAAGCGGAGCAAGUGACGGUAACGAAAGAGAAAGGGACGGCUAACUACGUG
rnacentral:rRNA from 1 species